GAGGCGACUGCGGGGUCUACUUCUUCUGUUGCCCUAGCUCAAGGUCGAAGACGAUCCACUGUUCACACUGUGGGCUCAUGGGCCACACUGUGGACAGAUGCUACCGGUUACAUAGAUAUCCACCAGGUUUCAAGCCCAAGCCCGUCAUGUUCCAACCCAAUCCAGGCCCACUCCUGGCACUAAAUCAUUUAAUUCAUUUGGGUCUGGAUCCAGGUCCACUCUCUCUUCUGCAAACCGGGUCUCAACCCACGAACCGAAUCCUCCAGUACACAUCUCUUCUCUUCUUCCUCGGGCACGCAUCCUCUUGUGCGACAGGCGCAGAGCUUCGCCUCCGCCACUGCCUGCUUGCCGAUGCUUGAUUCCGUUGCCUCGGUUGACUCUCUGAGCACGUCACAAAUCC
rnacentral:lncRNA from 1 species